UCAUCCAUAAUAGUUUGACUUCUGGAUAAGAGUUGAUCUGAUGCUACUAUAUAAGCCAAGACCGACACCUUGAAUCCCUCGUUGAGUGCCUCAGCAUACUUCUUUUGAGCUCUGAUUUUGAAGAUGUCAACAAGCAGGAGGAAAUCUUCUAUCGCUGUGCUGCUGCUGCUAGUACUCCUCCAACUCAUCGGUGCUCUCGCUCGACCUGCAUGCAACUAUCUUCAUCGAGAAAAUUGUCGCCGUAAAUAAACCAUGAACUGAAGUACGGAAAACGUGUGCAUGCUUGAUUUGUUGGGUUAGAUACAUAAUCGUCAUAUAGAUUGUUCGAUUUCCCAAGAAAUGAAAUGAAGUUGGAAAAAAGUGUACCACUGGGAAUGAAGGUUUGGCCAGCUCUCUCGGAGUAACUUCAAGAUCACCAAGAUUAUGAAUCAUAUUGUUGGCUCAUCAAAAAGUUUAAUGUCGCCCGUGCAUUUUGACGUAAAUGUAGCUAAAAUUUUGAAUAUUUCAAUACGAUCACAAUGAUCCAGACAA